UACGUAGGGGGCAAGCGUUAUCCGGAAUGAUUGGGCGUAAAGCGUCCGCAGGUGGCAAUGUAAGUCUGCUGUCAAAGCGUCUGGCUCAACCAGAUAAAGGCAGUGGAAACUACAUAGCUAGAGUAAGGUAGGGGUAGAGGGAAUUCCUGGUGUAGCGGUGAAAUGCGUAGAGAUCAGGAAGAACACCGGUGGCGAAAGCGCUCUGCUGGACCUUAACUGACACUGAGGGACGAAAGCUAGGGGAGCGAAUGGG
rnacentral:rRNA from 1 species